UUAAGUUCAGCGGGUAUCCCUACCUGAUCCGAGGUCAACCUUGGUGUGUGUGUAGACAGGGUCUACGGUCGAGGCCAGCGCCGGCCGGGCCACUAGAGCGGGUGAUAAAGCCCAUACGCUCGGGCACCGGAGCACGGUACCGCCACUGCCUUUCGGGCCCGUCCACGGGGGACGAGGCCCAACACGCAAGCCGCGCUUGA
rnacentral:misc_RNA from 1 species